rnacentral:rRNA from 1 species
UGGGGAAUCUUGCACAAUGGGCGAAAGCCUGAUGCAGCGACGCCGCGUGCGGGAUGAAGGCCUUCGGGUUGUAAACCGCUUUCAGCAGGGACGAGGCCGCAAGGUGACGGUACCUGCAGAAGAAGCCCCGGCUAACUACGUGCCAGCAGCCGCGGUAAUACGUAGGGGGCAAGCGUUAUCCGGAUUCAUUGGGCGUAAAGCGCGCGUAGGCGGUUUGUUAGGUCAGGAGUUAAAUCUGGGGGCUCAACCCUUAUCCGCUCCUGAUACCGGCAGGCUUGAGUCUGGUAGGGGAAGGCGGAAUUCCAAGUGUAGCGGUGAAAUGCGCAGAUAUUUGGAAGAACACCGGUGGCGAAGGCGGCCUUCUGGGCCACGACUGACGCUGAGGCGCGAAAGCUAGGGGAGCGAACAGG